ensembl:lncRNA
CACUUCUGGGGAGGAAUUUGCCUGACCUGCUGUAGACAUCUUGGAAAAUUCAUUAAAAGCACUCCUUUCCGGCUUCUGAUGAGUCAGCGCUCCCUGAUGAAGAGCUACUUGGUCAAAAGUUUCAGCUGAGGUCAAAGGUUUUGCUGCACCUGGAUUAAUUAUUAUUGCUGCUGCAGUGAGCAGACUGUGGACUAUGCUGAACUGGUGCCUGCAUGUAUUAAUGCAACAGAUGAAACCCAAAGCCUCGUAGUUGUAGUGGACCACUUGACCUGCGCUGAUUUCUGUUAACUUCUAGAUGUGCACGGACUUUUGCUCAAAAAGGGAUGAUUGGGCCCUGGAUUUUAAAGCACAUAAUAAACAAAACAGUCUCUUGGUUUCUUUGUUCAAUACUACUGCUAUUGGAAUUAGGACUGGCAGUAUACACAGCCUCCUGAUGUCUUUGUUAUAUUGCAUUUUAAAGUAUAAUCACACUGUAAAGGCAGUUCCAAAGAGAGAUCUUCACUCCUUUGGCUGCUUCUGUUUCUCCCCUCUCUUUCUACAUGUA